rnacentral:pre_miRNA from 1 species
UAAUCAUGUACUAACUAGACUCAAAAGAUUCAUCUCCCGAUUUAUAGAUAAAUUGUGCAAUUAGUUUUUGUUUUUGUCUAUAUUUAAUGCUUCACGCAUGUGCUGUAAAAUUCGAUAUGAAGGGAAAUCUUGAAAAGUUUUUGGUACUUUUUGAAAACUACCCAAAACUUUUCAAGAUUUCCCAUCAUAAUGAAUCUUACGGCACAUGCAUUAAACACUAAAUAUAGAUGAAAAUAAAAACUAAUUAUAUAAUUUGUCUGUAAUUUGCGAAACGAAUCUUUUAAGUCUAAUUAAAUUAUUAUUA